rnacentral:rRNA from 1 species
UACGAAGGGGGCUAGCGUUGCUCGGAAUCACUGGGCGUAAAGCGCACGUAGGCGGAUCUUUAAGUCAGGGGUGAAAUCCCGGAGCUCAACUCCGGAACUGCCUUUGAUACUGAGGGUCUCGAGUCCGGGAGAGGUGAGUGGAACUGCGAGUGUAGAGGUGAAAUUCGUAGAUAUUCGCAAGAACACCAGUGGCGAAGGCGGCUCACUGGCCCGGUACUGACGCUGAGGUGCGAAAGCGUGGGGAGCAAACGGG